AUGGACAAGGCGUUGGCGGGCAUGGCGGACGCGCCGGGGGCGGCGCCGCCGCCGUACGUCAGCCCGUCGGCGGCGUUCCCCAUCGCGAUCGUCAUCGCCAUCGGCUUCAUGGUCACCUCCGUCAUCCUCGUCAGCUACUACCUGCUCGUCGUCCGCUGCUGGCUCCGCGCCAGCGGCGCCAGCCUGCUCCCGCGCACGCGCCGCGACGAGCUCGUGGACCGCGUCUCCGCCGUCUUCUUCACCGACCACGACGACGACCAGCUGCCCGGCGGCGUCGACUCGGACGUCGUCGCCGCGCUCCCCGUCGUCAGGUGCCGGCCCGCCGGGAAGGCGGUCGAGUGCGCCGUGUGCCUCUCCGAGUUCGCGCCCGGGGAGCGGCUCAAGAUGCUGCCGGCCUGCUCCCACGCCUUCCACAUCGACUGCAUCGACACCUGGCUCCACCACAACGUCAGCUGCCCGCUCUGCCGGACCGAGGUCACCGCCGCCGCGGGCAAGGCCUGCUGCGACGACCACGACGCGCUCGCCGCCCGCGACAGGCGCAUCGACGCGGGCCCCUCGGGGCCGGGGGGCUCCUGCCGGUUUCCCACUCCCAAGCAGGGCAUCGCCGUGCAGGAGCCCAUCAGGCGGUCCAUGUCCAUGGACUUCCUGCCGGGCGACCGCGGACGGAAGCCGCGGAAGGAGGCCGAGCUGCCGAGCCACGCCGACGUGGCCGGCAGCAGCAGCAGCGUGGCCGCCACCCCCGCCGGCGUGGGCGAGACGAGCGGGCGGUUCCGGCGGCUCAUGUCGUCGUUCGGGCUCGGGCGGAGCUCGCGGAGCACGGUGCUGCCCAUCCACCUCGACCCAUGA
rnacentral:rRNA from 1 species